rnacentral:tRNA from 1 species
GACAAUGUGGCCUAGUGGUUAAGGCACCAGGCUAGAAAGCAGGAGACUGUGGGUGCUGGUCUCACAUUAGUCA